rnacentral:rRNA from 1 species
CCUACGGGAGGCAGCAGUGGGGAAUCUUGCACAAUGGGGGGAACCCUGAUGCAGCGACGCCGCGUGAGCGAGGAAGUAUUUCGGUACGUAAAGCUCUAUCAGCAGGGACGAAAAAAGACGGUACCUGUCUAAGCAGCCCCGGCUAACUACGUGCCAGCAGCCGCGGUAAUACGUAGGGGGCAAGCGUUAGCCGUAUUUACUGGGUGUAAAGGGAGCGUAGACGGCAAGGCAAGCCAGAAGUGAAAGGGCAGGGCUCAACCCUGUACAUGCUUUUGGAACUGUGGUGCUAGAGUGCAGGAGAGGUAAGUGGAAUUCCUAGUGUAGCGGUGAAAUGCGUAGAGAUUAGGAGGAACACCAGUGGCGAAGGCGGCUUACUGGACUGUAACUGACGUUGAGGCUCGAAAGCGUGGGGAGCAAACAGGAUUAGAUACCCCAGUAGUC